rnacentral:tRNA from 2 species
CAGGGAAUAGUUUAAUAAAAUUUUAAUUUUGGAGAUUAAAGAUAAAGAGUUUUCUUUUUCCUUGA